rnacentral:rRNA from 1 species
UACGUAGGGGGCUAGCGUUGUCCGGAAUCAUUGGGCGUAAAGAGCGCGCAGGCGGUCGUACAAGUCGCGUGUGAAAGCCCCCGGCUCAACUGGGGAGGGUCACGCGAUACUGUUCGACUCGAAGGCAGGAGAGGGUAGUGGAAUUCCCGGUGUAGUGGUGAAAUGCGUAGAUAUCGGGAGGAACACCGGUGGCGAAGGCGGCGACCUGGGUCGAUACUGACGCUGAUGCGCGAAAGCGUGGGGAGCAAACAGG